AUUGAACGCUGGCGGCAGGCCUAACACAUGCAAGUCGCACGAGUGGCGGACGGGUGAGUAAUGUCUGGGAAACCGCCUGAUGGAGGGGGUAAAAUACUGGAAACGGAAGCUAAUACCGCAUACCAUACGAUUUGGCCAGAUGGGAUUAGCUAGUAGGUGGGGUAACGGCUCACCUAGGCGACGAUCCCUAGCUGGUCUGAGAGGAUGACCAGCCACACUGGAACUGAGACACGGUCCAGACUCCUACGGGAGGCAGCAGUGGGGAAUAUUGCACAAUGGGCGAAAGACUGAUGCAGCCAUGCCGCGUGAAUGAAGAAGGCCUUCGGGUUGUAAAGUACUUUCAGCGGGGAGGCGUUACCCGCAGAAGAAGCACCGGCUAACUCCGUGCCAGCCGCCGCGGUAAUAC
rnacentral:rRNA from 1 species